GCACGGUGGACUAUCGAUAAUUCGCCGCCAUUUUUGCAUAUACUUUUCCUUCCACGUGCAGCAGCGGAUGUCGCUCACUUUUUCUCAAAAACUCAAAGGAAAUGUGAGAACUACUGGAAACCGUAACCAUUUGGUUGAAUUGAAUUCAAUGCAUGCCCUGUGCAUGUGAGACACCUCGGGACAACAUGUGACCGACGAGACACCUCGGGCCAUGAGCCUUCUGGGGACACCUCCCAUAUUAGAGGGUGCGUCAUAUGCUAGGAUGACAGUUUUUCCAUGGUUGCAAGCGUCAGAAAGGUUGUACUUCCAAUUUUGAGGUUAUGAGUGGUCAUUGUUACAUCGAACACAUGGAUAUUUCCAAAAAAGAAUAACUCGGUACUUUGCUGGGAAAUAGCCAUUUUAUUGUCAUGGUUGAUUGGAUGUACUCCCAAAAGAAAGACGUUGACCAGAUUUUAAAACAACAAAGCCUUUGGAUGUUAUAUAUGCAAUCAAAUAAAACAAGUUACAAUAUCCACUA